rnacentral:lncRNA from 1 species
GCCACCUAAACAAUGUAGUAAUGUCAGGUGUAUAAUAGUUGAAAAAUUGGCAAUUAGUGAAAUAAGUAAGAAAUGAACCAAAUGACAAAAACCUACAGUUGGUCAUGAAGAUGGUAAGCCUCUUCCUUCACUUAUGCCUCUUCCUAAGCCUCUUCCUCUAACUGCACUUAGCUUUGAAGAUGGUAAAUCUCUUCCUAAGCCAAUAUGUGAAGAUGGUAAGACUCCUUGUCCAUUACCUCUUGUCACCUAAAAAGUUACUGAUGUUUAUUGUUUUCCAAUGACAUAAGCAAUAAAAAAUUCAAUGGUUGGG